GCAGCUCUGCAGUUUGCCCUCGGCAAAAUUGUGAAGAUUUAAAGGGCCGGAAUGAGGUGCGGAGGACAAUCAGGGCGAAUGUGUUGUAACAGAGUGUGCUGCAUGGUGAGCCUGUGCCCGCUGCAGCCACAGAUUUCUGUUCUUCGCAGACAGGAGUGGAACCUCACAUGGUUUUCUGCUGUUGUAUCCCAUCCGCCUCAAGCCUGCCAUACAUCUUCCUUUUUGGCACAGAUGGAUCAUUUACAGACAAUGAGUACAACACUAAUUAAAAGCUGAUGACGCAGAAAGUACUGAACCGAUUUGCACCAAACUUCCUGGGGGGAUUUGCCAUGGGCCAGGAAAGAACCCAUUAAAUUUUGGUGCAGAAUCAAUUAAAGGGGAAAAUCCAGGAUAUUUUUUAUCACUUAAAAUUGCGAGUGGGGACAUUUUUUAACAUUUCGUCAAUAUUUGGCCUUGGCAGAAGUAUGUGCUCUACUGAGUGCCAUUGUAGUUGUUGAAUUUGUUCAUAUACCAAGGUAUAAAAAGACACAUAGAAAAUGGUCUUUCAAAUCUGAUAUUUGCUAAAUCAGCUUUUUAUUUCUAAACAUGUACAUUUUGUUUACAGUGCAUCCUGAUGCACGAUGUUUCUGCCAUCUAUCACUUCUAUGUUGUUAUGUUCACAAAGUAUAUUUACAAAUGCAUACUCAAUCAUGAUCUACAUGGUGACAUAAAAAGUGAGAGGGUCAUACAAAUGGGGAACUAUCACUCCUCUAGAUGAAACCAAGCCAUGGUGUCAUCCUUGCAACCUUAAAAUCACACAACACUGACCUCACUUUAACCUCUUGAGUAUUUAAAAAAAAAAAUGUUCAAUGUGAUUAUUUAGUUAUUUCGGGAUUUUCCUCAUAUAUCACAACCCUAUAUCAAAACACACUGUACAUAUUUCAUAUGUUAAAAAUACAUGAAAAAAUGCCUUUAUUUGAUGGAGCAUUAGCAGUGUUCCAUUGUUUAAAGGUAAACUGGGCUACAUCCAGGCCAAAUUAUUUUUCUGGUGCUGCACUGCGUGCAGUUCUGUUCUGUGGGCCUAUGCAGAGUUCCCUCAUCACUCCCUCCAAUGUGAACAGGAAACGCAUGCCAGUAGCACACAGCAUGGACCUGUUAGACGUUUGGCUUAAUGUGGCGCAGCACAACACUGACUUAAUAAGAGGCAUGCUGGUUAGAAACUUUGUCUGACUUUUGCCAGUGCUGCAGAACGUCACCAUGUCACAUGACCGUAAAACCUUGCGGGAGCCAGGCACCUGCAUUUUUCUGAGUCAGUCGCUGCAAUUGCUCUCCUCCGGCUGAACCAACUGAGAACCACCUAUGUGAAGAACGAACUUUGCCUUAAGUUCCCUUAAGGCUCACUAACAUGCAUGACAUGUGGUAUGCUUUUAUUAAGAACUUCAGAUCUGUUAUCUCUUACAGUUAUCGCUCCUAAAGGGGAUGCAAUUUUUUUUUUAUCACCUCCUUCUUGUAGCUCAUUGUUUUUCCCAUCAAGAAAGCUAGUCUAAAAGUCUAAAAGUGUUGAUUUGGCAGGUAUUCCAUGUGUGACUUUACCCCCAUACACCUUAACCCAUUGCCCUAGAUGUUUUCAUUAAACAUUAUGUAGAUUAAAUUUCACGUGUCAAAAGACUAAUAUAAAGUUGUGUUUGGCCUGAAAAUGUUUUAGAACAACAUAUUUUUGAGUGAGUAAAAAUGUGUAUAAGUUUUGCACAACAGUCUGACAUAUUGAGGGUAACACUCAUAUUUUUAAAUAAAAAAGCAUUGAACAGCUGUGCAGAUUUUCCGCAAUGGGUUGUGUGAACAUCUGCUGCUGUGACAGAGGUGUACGAUGUUUUGGCGUGUUGCUUACUGAUGAUGCAUUUUUUGCAAUUGAACAGGUAUUCUGUGUUUGUGUAAUAGUCUUUAUGUACUGUAUAUAGUUUUGCGAGCUCACUCACGGUACGGGAAGCACAAUGUGUCCGACUGGACGCCAUUGUUUUUAUACUCCACCUCUGCUUUCGAAGGCAGUCGAAGUUGAAAACGAACGCAGCUUUUCAUUUAAACGGAAGCGGUGUUGCGCAACACCCUGUUGCGUUACGCAUGCGCA